rnacentral:rRNA from 1 species
AUUGAACGCUGGCGGCAUGCUUUACACAUGCAAGUCGAACGGUAACAGGCCUUCGGGUGCUGACGAGUGGCGAACGGGUGAGUAAUGCAUCGGAACGUACCCAGAGGUGGGGGAUAACGCAGCGAAAGCUGUGCUAAUACCGCAUGUGAUCUGAGGAUGAAAGCGGGGGACCGAGCAGCAAUGUUUGGCCUCGCGCCUUUGGAGCGGCCGAUGUCGGAUUAGCUAGUUGGUGGGGUAAAGGCCUACCCAGGCGACGAUCCGUAGGUGGUCUGAGAGGGCGACCAGCCACACUGGGACUGAGACACGGCCCAGACUCCUACGGGAGGCAGCAGUGGGGAAUUUUGGACAAUGGGCGCAAGCCUGAUCCAGCAAUGCCGCGUGCGGGAAGAAGGCCUUCGGGUUGUAAACCGCUUUUGGCAGGAACGAAACGGUGUCCGCUAAUACCGGGCGCUAAUGACGGUACCUGCAGAAUAAGCACCGGCUAACUACGUG